GAUGAACGCUGGCGGCGUGCCUAAUACAUGCAAGUCGAGCGAACGGACGAAGCUUGCUUCUCUGAUGUUAGCGGCGGACGGGUGAGUAACACGUGGAUAACCUACCUAUAAGACUGGGAUAACUUCGGGAAACCGGAGCUAAUACCGGAUGAUAUUUUGAACCGCAUGGUUCAAAAGUGAAAGACGGUCUUGCUGUCACUUAUAGAUGGAUCCGCGCUGCAUUAGCUAGUUGGUAAGGUAACGGCUUACCAAGGCAACGAUGCAUAGCCGACCGGAGAGGGUGGUCGGCCACACGGGAACUGAGACUCGCCCCCGACUCCGACGUGAGGCACCAGUCGGGUAUCUUACGCAAUGGGCGAAAGCCUGACGCAGCAACGCCACGUUGGUCGUGACGGUCUCCGGUUCGUAAAACCCUGUUUCGAGGGAGAAACAUAUGUGAAAGUAACCGUGCACAUCUUGACGGUACCUAAACAGAAAGCCGCGGCUAACUACGUG
rnacentral:rRNA from 1 species